GGGAUCAGGAUUCCUCCUGGCUUAGCUGCUCCCACUUGGAGGGGAGGAGCAAUUAAGAUGGGAGGACGGAGCUGUCUCCUGCUUCAGCUGGACCAGAUAAGUCAGAUGAGAAUGAGCCCAGGACUGCAGGAUCCAACAAGGGACAGCUCAGAAAAUGUCUGGGAUACAUUCUCUGACGGACGCCUGUGUAUAUCAUCAUAAGUGAAUGACUGUUUGGAGAUUCAGAGCUGCUGCUUCUGGUGGUGUCCUGGGGACAUCCUUUGCUGCAUAAAGGAGGUGUGGGAUGGAGGAGGGCUCAACCACUCACCGUCCAGAAUUCAACAAGACAGAAGCAUCAAGCCAGAGUUGCCAAAAAUGUAGUCCAACUUGAGAUUCAAUUUUCUGAGAAGAGAUGGGUGGAAGAAUUAUUCAGAAGACUGAAACAGAG